GACGAACGCUGGCGGCGUGCCUAAUACAUGCAAGUUGAGCGCUGAAGGUUGGUACUUGUACCGACUGGAUGAGCAGCGAACGGGUGAGUAACGCGUGGGGAAUCUGCCUUUGAGCGGGGGACAACAUUUGGAAACGAAUGCUAAUACCGCAUAAAAACUUUAAACACAAGUUUUAAGUUUGAAAGAUGCAAUUGCAUCACUCAAAGAUGAUCCCGCGUUGUAUUAGCUAGUUGGUGAGGUAAAGGCUCACCAGGGCGAUGAUACAUAGCCGACCUGAGAGGGUGAUCGGCCACAUUGGGACUGAGACACGGCCCAAACUCCUACGGGAGGCAGCAGUAGGGAAUCUUCGGCAAUAGACGAAAGUCUGACCGAGCAACGCCGCGUGAGUGAAGAAGGUUUUCGGAUCGUAAAACUCUGUUGGUAGAGAAGAACGUUGGUGAGAGUGGAAAGCUCAUCAAGUGACGGUAACUACCCAGAAAGGGACGGCUAACUACGUG
rnacentral:rRNA from 1 species